rnacentral:tRNA from 10 species
GUUUUAAAUAAAAGAUGAUCACGUUAACUGAGGCUUCUUCAAAGGUCAGCUUGUCUAUUUGUCUAAAAAGGUUUUUUUUUUUUUUUAAAGAUAGUCAUGUUUUCAUUUGGAAGUCAUCCAUAUGUAUGGUUAAGUAGUAUCUAUUGUUUAAAAUUGCCAAUUCCAUAGUUUAGCUUAAAAUACAAAGCAUCCCUUAGAAAACUGUAAUAUGUCAUUUCCUACAUUCCUUGCUGUUAUAGGAAGGAACUUGGGCAAUGAGGAAAUAGUGGCUUCCUUGGGAAACAGAAGGAAGUGCUGGGAGGACGUGCAGGGAGGACACAAAAAGAGACUUGUCCUACUUCUCAAUUUUUUUCUAGGAAUAGUUCCCUUCACAUUACAAGCAUUUCCUUACAUACUCUUACAUGUAAAUAAGUCAAGAUUCUUUCGAGAAAGAACUGCUGAAACAAAACCUAACCUACAAAUUAGCUCCACGUUAAAGGAAAUUGGACUGUGUACAGUGCUGGAAGAGAAACAAGUUGACUUUCAAGUUCUUGGUUUGUGAUUAUUGACCAGAAAUAUUUAUUCAAUGUCCCAAUGAAUGUGAAGCUGUGGUUCUGUAACUACAGGAGUUCUGUUAGGUAUAAAAAUGGUAAGCACAGGAAUCUUCAGGAUACUUUUGAUGUCACACUGACUCUUUCACCAUCAAAGUAAUAGUUUUUCAAAGUGACAUGCUACAGGGGGCCACCUGGGGCUCUUCAUGAGAUGAUGAUAGGAAUGUAUUGUGUCUCCACCAUAACAUCCAUGCCCUCAGGAAGAAAGAUUUGAACAGCCAAGGAUGACCAAUAGCUGAGGCUUAAAGACCAGAGCACCUAUAAGCUUCUUAUCAACACAGCAACUCAGAGAGGUCAGACUUGUUGCUCAGGACUACAAGAGCAAGCAUUUGAGUGGCCAAGAGUGAAUCUGCCUGGCCUUUUAUGACCUGGGCCUGGAAACAACAGACCAUCAAUUUUGUCAUACUUUUUAUUGAUUGAAGCCAGAAAGGUCCACUCAGAUUCAAGAGGAGGGGACACAGAUCCACCAUCUAGUUGGAAGAAAUGUCCAAAAAUGUUGCUGUAAAGUUUUAAGACUACCAAAAUCUACAUAUCUCUGAUCAUUAAUGGAUAUCUUUUCAUAUAUCAUUCUCUAUUCUUGUAUCCUUUUUAAUAAAUCACCCAUUCAUUUAGUUUUUUCUUCUUAUUAUUAGAUUGUUGUUUAUCACUAAUUGAUCAGUAGGAAUCUUUAUAUAUUUUAUUCCAAAUUCCUUGGGAAUGACAUGAAUUACAAGUAUUUUCUCUUUGUAGUUUAAGUUUCUUUGUGGUAUCUUUCCUGUUAUUAAAUCUUAAAUAAAAAGCAGUAAAAGUCAGGCGUUGUGGUACGUGCCUGUAGUUCCAGACAGGAGGAUUCCUUGUACCCAGGAGUUCAAGGUUUCAGUGAACUGUGAUUGCACCACUUCACUCCAGCCUGAGUGACAGAGUGAGGCCCUGUCAAAAAAC